rnacentral:rRNA from 1 species
UACGGAGGGUGCAGGCGUUAUCCGGAUUCACUGGGUUUAAAGCGUGCGCAGGCGGUUUUGUAAGCCAGAUGUGAAAUCCCCGGGCUUAACCUGGGAAUGGCAUUUGGGACUGCAAGGCUCGAGUGCGGCAGAGGAGACUGGAAUUCCUGGUGUAGCAGUGAAAUGCGUAGAUAUCUGGAGGAACACCGGUGGCGAAGGCGGCAUCCUGGACCAACACUGACACUGAGGAGCGAAAGCCAGGGGAGCAAACGGG